rnacentral:rRNA from 1 species
AAUGAACGUUGGCGGCGUGGAUUAGGCAUGCAAGUCGAACGGACCAUGAGUAGCAAUACUUAUGGUCAGUGGCGUAAGGGAGAGUAAUACGUAGGUAUUUACCCUGGGGUCUGGGAUAGCGGCGGGAAACUGCCGGUAAUACCAGAUGAUAUCUCCGGAUCAAAGGUGUGAUUCCGCCCUAGGAGAAGCCUGCGGUCUAUUAGAUAGUUGGUAGGGUAGCGGCCUACCAAGGCAGAGAUGGACAUGGGGCGGGAGAGCGUGCCCCCACUCACUGGGACUGAGACGCUCACAAGACACCUGCGGGUGGCUGCAGUCGAGAAUCUUCGGCAAUGGGCGCAAGCCUGACCGAGCGACGCCGCGUGCGGGAUGAAGGCCUUCGGGUUGUAAACCGCUGUCGAAGGGGAGGAAAUGCUAGUGGGUUCACCCAUUAGUUUGACCGAUCCGUGGAGGAAGGGCCGGCUAAUCUCGUGCCAGCAGCCGCGGUAACAC